rnacentral:misc_RNA from 1 species
GUAGGUGAACCUGCGGAAGGAUCAUUAAUGAGUUAGGGUCUUCUAGGCCCGAUCUCCCAACCCUUUGUAUAAUUACCAUGUUGCUUUGGCGGGCCCGUCUUUAACCGGACCGCCGGGAGUUUUGUAAACCCCUGGCCAGCGCUCGUCAAUAGCCCCUUCAAAAACUCUUGUUAAUCAUGUUAAAUCUGAAAAUAUUUAAAUAAACUAAAACUUUCAACAACGGAUCUCUUGGUUCUG